rnacentral:rRNA from 1 species
CGGAGGGUGCAAGCGUUAUCCGGAUUCACUGGGUUUAAAGGGUGCGUAGGUGGGCAGGUAAGUCAGUGGUGAAAUCUCUGGGCUUAACCCAGAAACUGCCGUUGAUACUAUCUGUCUUGAAUAUAGUGGAGGUGAGCGGAAUAUGUCAUGUAGCGGUGAAAUGCUUAGAUAUGACAUAGAACACCCAUUGCGAAGGCAGCUCGCUACACUAUUAUUGACACUGAGGCACGAAAGCGUGGGGAUCAAACAGGAUUAGAUACCCUGGUAGUCCACGCCCUAAACGAUGGAUACUCGACAUCAGCGAUACACUGUUGGUGUCUGAGCGAAAGCAUUAAGUAUCCCGCCUGGGAAGUACGACCGCAAGGUUG